rnacentral:lncRNA from 1 species
UGCACAGGGUGAUAUGAGUGCUAUGUUUUUAUUAUAUAGUAUAUAUGGACUGACAGUUCUAUAAAAUCAGUCACUGUUAAAAAUAACAUUCUAAACUGUCAAUAGUCCUGGAGAACCUGUGUUUGAAUCCUGCUUGUUGGGACACUUUGGAAAAGCAAUUUGGCAAUAUGAAACUUUGAAUAUAUUGGCUCACUAUCUUCUGGCCACUAAAGUUUCUCAUGGGAAAUCUGUUGAUAACCUUAUUGAGGAUCCUGUUAUGUGAGGAAAGUUGUGAGAUGACGAAACAUCCUCCAAAGCUAAUUUUUAAUGUCAAAAUCAAAUAAAAAUAAAUUCAUUAAUUACAAAAAAUUGAACAUAAAAGCACAAUGAAAAAGAAGCAGGCAUACAUAGAGUGCUUAUUCUGGUCUUAUUUUUUUUCCCCAAAACUUUAAUAUGUGACAUUAUUUUCUGUUAGUAAAAUUCACCUUAUUACAUUAGUGGCUUAAAUAUUUCCCUAUUUGUGGAGAAUGUGUGUGUAUUUUGUUUCAUUUUACUUUGGUAAAGCUACAGAGAAGUUAUAGAAAAUGGAACUUUCAUCCCCAAGAUGAGAUAUUUUGCUAUUGAUAGUCCUUUUGCAGACACCUCUGAAAGUCUUCAAGCUAUAUACAAAAUUAAGGAAUCUUACAACUCUGUAUUAUAUUGGAGACAAUUUCAACAAUAGCCACAAAAAUUAUCAUCACAGGGAAGAGAAAGAGAGAGAAAGGUUCCACGGUUAGAUGGUUCUGGAACCCUCAUUUGCAGUGUUCUUACUAACAGUAUUUCAGCUUCCUAAACCAAGGGAUGCUAUAAACCAGGAGGGACUGCUGCUUUGGAAUGGAAGCCAAAGGGCAAAAGAUGGCAAGAAGCUAGCACAUUUCAUAAGGAAGUAUUUGAAGAAAGUAUGUAGAAGACCAAAUCAAGCAAAGAAAAAAAGGGACUUAAACCGAGAAAAAUGGGCACCCACUUGAUAUCACUGAAUAAGAAAGUUAUGAAAAGGAGUUUAAGAAAGAAAAGAAAAAAAAUCUGAGACAACUUACGUAUAAAUAAAAAAUC